AUGAAAAUCAUAGGAUGGAACUGUCAUGGUAUGCUCUCCCCCACGGCAGUUCGCGAGCUCUUGGAUCUACAACGGCGGACCAAGGCAGAUUUAAUUUUUCUUUCCGAGUCUCAUUUGAAUAAAUGUAAAGCUGAUGAGCUACGUUGUGUUUUAGAUUUUGAUUCGAUGUUUGUAGUGGAGAGUGAUGGUCGGGCCGGUGGCCUCGUUAUGUUUUACCACAAAAUGAAUAAAGGUUUUAAACUAUGUGGCGGCUAA
rnacentral:rRNA from 1 species